CCCCUGGUUUCCCAGCGCUGAAAUAAAAGCACCGCAUAUAACUACGUCCGUGGUUAUGUGUCCUAAUUGCUAACAUUUUGGGGACACAGAUGGGACCUCGCGAGCAUUGCUGAGGCGGAUCGCGUCUGGAUCCUGCUCCGGCUAGCACCGAGGUAUUCUUGGGGAGCGCAUCGGACGCGACCGACCCUCCGCUGCUCUCGACGGACCUCUGAUUGGACAUUGAAUCGACUCAGAUCCGUAUUAGUGUGGAAUUGCCCACUAGCACUUGAGAAUCCAGUACAUGAUAUAGAACCUGGAGACACGGUGUAUAUAAAGACUUGGAGAGAAGAUCCUUUAAAAGAACGUUGGGACGGACCUUAUCAAGUACUUUUAACUACAUUUACCGCAAUCAAGGUUGCUGAAAUAGAUUCCUGGAUACACUACACCCGAGUGAAGAAAGUCCCAAAACGGUGGCAAUCACAAUUAGUGGGUCCAACCACACUUAAAAUCACAACGCAGGAUGUCUAACUUUUAUCACCGCUUUGUGCUUAUAGUAGUUUAUGUACCCAGACUGUAUGCCACACUGAUUUGCAAAGUCACUGGAGAACAAUUAUGCAAAACACGAAGGGCUAUAGGAGAUAGUGAUGAUGCUCAAAUGCCGCAAGUAGUGCAGAGUGUACAGAAUCAGGCAGAGAAUCUGAUGAUAGGAUUAAUUCGAGAUUUUGCACAAACCCAAAAUGCCAGUAGCAUCACUGCUUGCCUUCCCAUUCCAAAAUCGGCCGAAGACCCAAUACAAUGGGGAAUAAUAUCUACAACCUUACCGAGAAUGAAUAAAACUGGUAAGAUAGUGUGUGAAUCCCGUACUAGGCUGGAGCAAGUGCCAACUGAAAAAUGGGUAAAAACAGGACCCGAAACAGUGGAAUUUAGAGGAAAGGUAAUUCUCAAAGAAAGUUGGACCAAAAAGACAGUAUAUGAAGAGGUUAAUUGGACCUAUUGGGAAUGUAAAGAUCAGGAUAAUCAGAACAUAACUGAAUCAUAGUACAGCAAUAUCAAUAUAGUGAAGCAUUUCCAUGGUGUAUACGAUGGACCAAUGUAACGAGAGGAGUAACAGUACCAUGGUGGAAUUGCUCUCGAGUGAUGACCUGCCAGACAGAUGUGAGAGAAAUACCUCUGUCCAUCAUUAAAGUUGCAGUAAUCACAGGUUGCAUUUUUCAGAAACAAUUGGAUCCAAAGGAAGCAAUCAAAAUAGGCAUUGAUGGAGAUAAGAUAGAUUGUAGAGGAACUAUAGGUAGUGUGGGACAUUUGGUUUGGGCCUUAAGUGAUGGAACCUGGACAACACAUUUACCGAUAGCAGGACCUGUAAGGGAGGUUACUUUGGAGUUACCAACCCUAUGUCCCAUUUGGAAGAGGUCACCCCUGAAGAAUAGGCAAGAACUCCUACAAGUUAGGCACAAGCGAGAGAUAGAUGAAGAUGAUGUGUGGCACGAGCCAUCAGGUAGUGUUAAAUUCGGCUGGGCAUUAGAAUCUUUCUUUGCACCAAUUGCAGCCUAUAGAAACAGAGAAAUGAUUGACAGAUUAAUUGGACAGAUGGAUCGAUUGGCAAGGAUAACCAAAAAGGGUUUUCGAGAUUUCAAUAUACAAUUGCAAGCUACGACCAAAAUGACUUUGCAGAACAGAAUGGCACUUGAUAUAAUGUUGCUAAAAGAAAAUGGGCUUUGUGGGUAUUUAAAGGAUAGGGUUGAUCACUGCUGCAUUCAUAUCCCAAACAUAACCUCUGAAGUGGAGAAAGAUAUUUCCCAAUUAACCCAAACAGAAAAGGAUCUGCAAGCGGAAAAACAAGAUGUAGAGCAGAGCCGGAUUGGGGCCUUGCUAGGCAAAUUGAACCUGAACCUGGGAGGAUGGGUACAUUCGUUGUUGGAAAGAUUAUUUUUGCUUGCUAUUAUAGUUGCUCUUUUCUUUUUGCUGUAUGCUUGUAUUAAGCAUCAGAUAAGUCAAUCAAACGCCAGGAACGACCGCAUCUUUACUGUUCUUAGCAGACCUACUUUUGACAGCCCUCCACCUUAUAAGGAAAACAUAAAUAGUGAAAAUGCAUUGUCUAGGAAUAGAAAAGCAUUUUCAAAGGGGGGAAAUGUUAUAGUUGAAUUGAAUUUUGUGGGCUGGGCUGUGUUUCUGAUUCUGUAGACCAUAUCCAGGAUUCCUACCUUAUCGUAAAAGCUAUGCAAGUUGUAUACGAGCUCAUAUUUUAGAGAACUGAAAAUUAGUUCUGUUAGUUCUCAGUAAGCUCUUAUCUUAUCUUGAAAGUGCUGAGAAGGUACAUUUGCUAUCAUCCAAGAAUUUGUAUAAUUUUAUACAAAGUGCGCAUGUGCAGUGACAAAAGGUGAAAAGUACACUAGUGAUGAAGACUACUUACUUCAUCCUGAAGACCCCCUGAACGACCACCAGAGGACACUGCGCAUGCUUAGAGUAGUUCCAAGGUGUUGCAACUGAUAUUGUGAAAUAAUUGUGUAACCUAAUGAAUAUGCAAUAUACACGUUGUAACUUUAAUGAAUAUGUAUGUAACCAAAUUGUAUAAAAUGGUGAAGUUUGAAUCAGUGGUCGGAGCCAGCUUUGGGUGCGAGCCCCUGGUUUCCCAGCGCUGAAAUAAAGCACCGCAUAUAACUA